AUUGAACGCUGGCUGCAGGCCUAACACAUGCAAGUCGAACGAGUGGCGGACGGGUGAGUAAUGUCUGGGAAACUGCCUGAUGGAGGGGGAUAACUACCGGAAACGGUAGCUAAUACCGCAUACCAUCGGAUGUGCCCAGAUGGGAGUAGCUGGUAGGUGGGGUAAAGGCUCACCUAGGCGACGAUCCCUAGCUGGUCCGAGAGGAUGAACGGCCAAACUGUGGCUGAAAAACGGUCCAGACUCCUACGGGAGGCAGCAGUGGGGAAUAUUGCACAAUGGGCGCAAGCCUGAUGCAGCCGUGCCGGGUGUAUGAAGAGGGCCUUCGGGUUGUAAAGUACUUUCAGCGGGGAGGCGUUACCCGCAGAAGAAGCACCGGCUAACUCCGAGCCAGCAGCCGCGGUAAUUC
rnacentral:rRNA from 1 species